UACGUAGGGUGCGAGCGUUAAUCGGAAUUACUGGGCGUAAAGCGUGCGCAGGCGGUUCGUUAAGUUCGAUGUGAAAGCCCCGGGCUCAACCUGGGAACUGCAUUGGAAACUGGCGAGCUUGAAUGCGGCAGAGGGGGGUGGAAUUCCGCGUGUAGCAGUGAAAUGCGUAGAGAUGCGGAGGAACACCGAUGGCGAAGGCAGCCCCCUGGGCCGGCAUUGACGCUGAGGAGCGAAAGCCAGGGGAGCAAACGGG
rnacentral:rRNA from 1 species